AGGACGAACGCUGGCGGCGUGCUUAACACAUGCAAGUCGAGCGGAAAGGCCCUUCGGGGUACUCGAGCGGCGAACGGGUGAGUAACACGUGAGCAACCUGCCCUUAGCUCUGGGAUAGCUCCGGGAAAACCGGAAUUAAUACCGGAUAUGACGUCGGCCGACAUCGGCUGGUGUGGAAAGUUUUUCGGCUAGGGAUGGACUCGCGGCCUAUCAGCUUGUUGGUGGGGUAAUGGCCUACCAAGGCGACGACGGGUAGCCGGCCUGAGAGGACGACCAGUCACACUGGAACUGAGACACGGUCCAGACACCUACGGGUGGCAGCAGUCGAGAAUUUUUCUCAAUGGGGGCAACCCUGAAGGAGCGACGCCGCGUGGAGGAUGAAGGCUUUCGGGUUGUAAACUCCUGUCAUUUGAGAACAAGUGCCAACAAAUAACUACUGUUGGCUUGAUAGUAUCAGAAGAGGAAGGGACGGCUAACUCUGUGCCAGCAGCCGC
rnacentral:rRNA from 1 species